CACCGCGUGGCUCAGUUGGUAGAGCAUGACGCUGGCAACGUCAGGGUUGUGGGUUCGAUUCCCAUGGGGGUCC